AACGAACGCUGGCGGCAUGCCUAACACAUGCAAGUCGAACGAAGCCUUCGGGCUUAGUGGCGCACGGGUGCGUAACACGUGGGAAUCUGCCCUUCGGUUCGGAAUAACAGUUAGAAAUGACUGCUAAUACCGGAUGAUGACGUAAGUCCAAAGAUUUAUCGCCGAAGGAUGAGCCCGCGUAGGAUUAGGUAGUUGGUAGGGUAAUGGCCUACCAAGCCGACGAUCCUUAGCUGGUCUGAGAGGAUGAUCAGCCACACUGGGACUGAGACACGGCCCAGACUCCUACGGGAGGCAGCAGUGGGGAAUAUUGGACAAUGGGCGAAAGCCUGAUCCAGCAAUGCCGCGUGAGUGAUGAAGGCCUUAGGGUGUAAAGCUCUUUACCAGGGAUGAUAAUGACAGUACCUGGAGAAUAAGCUCCGGCUAACUCCGUGCCAGCAGCCGCGGUAA
rnacentral:rRNA from 1 species